rnacentral:rRNA from 1 species
UACGUAGGGGGCGAGCGUUGUCCGGAAUCAUUGGGCGUAAAGCGCGUGUAGGCGGCCCGGUAAGUCCGCUGUGAAAGUCCAGGGCUCAACCCUGGGAUGCCGGUGGAUACUGUCGGGCUAGAGUCCGGAAGAGGAGUGUGGAAUUCCUGGUGUAGCGGUGAAAUGCGCAGAUAUCAGGAGGAACACCAAUGGCGAAGGCAGCACUCUGGGACGUGACUGACGCUGAGACGCGAAAGCGUGGGGAGCGAACAGG